rnacentral:rRNA from 1 species
GAUGAACGCUGGCGGCCUGCCUAAUACAUGCAAGUCGAGCGAACAGACGAGGAGCUUGCUCCUCUGAUGUUAGCGGCGGACGGGUGAGUAACACGUGGAUAACCUACCUAUAAGACUGGGAUAACUUCGGGAAACCGGAGCUAAUACCGGAUAACAUGUUGAACCGCAUGGUUCAACAGUGAAAGACGGUCUUGCUGUCACUUAUAGAUGGAUCCGCGCCGCAUUAGCUAGUUGGUAAGGUAACGGCUUACCAAGGCAACGAUGCGUAGCCGACCUGAGAGGGUGAUCGGCCACACUGGAACUGAGACACGGUCCAGACUCCUACGGGAGGCAGCAGUAGGGAAUCUUCCGCAAUGGGCGAAAGCCUGACGGAGCAACGCCGCGUGAGUGAAGAAGGUCUUCGGAUCGUAAAACUCUGUUAUUAGGGAAGAACAAAUGUGUAAGUAACUAUGCACGUCUUGACGGUACCUAAUCAGAAAGCCACGGCUAACUACGUG